rnacentral:tRNA from 1 species
GCCCAGAUAGCUCAGUCGGUAGAGCAGGGGACUGAAAAUCCCCGUGUCGGUGGUUCGAUUCCGCCUCUGGGC